UACGUAGGUGGCGAGCGUUGUUCGGAAUGACUGGGCGUAAAGGGAGCGUAGGUGGCUUUUUAAGUUAAGCGUGAAAGCCCGGGGCUUAACCCCGGAAUUGCGUUUAAAACUGGAAGGCUUGAGUGCAGGAGGGGUAAGCGGAAUUCCUAGUGUAGCGGUGGAAUGCGUAGAUAUAUGGAGGAACACCAGUGGCGAAGGCGGCUUACUGGACUGUAACUGACGUUGAGGCUCGAAAGCGUGGGGAGCAAACAGG
rnacentral:rRNA from 1 species